CCUCCCAGGCAAUGGGCAAAGAGACACCAUGUUGGUGGUGGUGUUCUUAUAUCAGCCAGGGGCAGAGCAGAUGGCAGUCCUUUGUCCAUCCUAGCUUAAUGCCUGGCUUGGUGGCCAAAGCUGUUUUAGGUCUAUAAAAAUCA